rnacentral:rRNA from 1 species
UACGUAGGGUGCGAGCGUUGUCCGGAAUUAUUGGGCGUAAAGAGCUCGUAGGCGGUUUGUCACGUCUGCUGUGAAAUCCCGAGGCUCAACCUCGGGCCUGCAGUGGGUACGGGCAGGCUGGAGUGUGGUAGGGGAGAUCGGAAUUCCUGGUGUAGCGGUGAAAUGUGUAGAGAUCGGGAGGAACACCGGUGGCGAAGGCGGGUCUCUGGGCAAUUCCUGACGCUGAGGCGCGAAAGCGUGGGGAGCAAACGGG